rnacentral:rRNA from 8 species
GACCUCAGAUCAGGUAGGGAUACCCGCUGAACUUAA